GGAUCCUUUUUUUCAGUCACUUCUCACAUACUGAGGUACUCCACCAAAGUCGUCAUACAGCUGACGCCAUCAGCAUCUGCUUCAGCCUCUGAGCUCCAUCACCACGACCACAACUGCAAAGCCAUCUCUUGCAUAGGGCGCCAACGUACACAGACAGAGAACUGAUAGAGCCAUGCUCGCGUACUUGGAGAACUACUUCGACCUAAGGAAGAGCUUCGUCUUCUACGGGGCGUAUCAUCACAAGUGGCCAAACCAAAUGAUUCAUGUGAUCUUCGUACCGGUCAUUUUCACUACCGCCAUGAGCUUCCUUGCGCGUGUGCCCAUCGCCGGCUGCGUCAACCUCUCCCACAUCGUCACGGCCUUCUACGCAGCCUCGUUCAUCAAGAUGGAGCCGAGUGCGGGGACACUCUACACGCCAAUGAUAGCGGUCAUGGAAUACCUUGGCUCACGGGUGCUCAUCCGCCACGUACCGAGCAGCAUUGGGAUUCAUGUCCUAGGCUGGGCAGCGCAGAUCGUGGGGCACAAGUUUAUCGAGGGUCGCCAGCCAGCCUUCAUGGAGGAUCCGCUGCAGGCAAUCCACGCAGCGGUGUUCUUUGUCUGGCUGGAGGUGCUCUUCUUUCUCGGCUACCGCCCCUCUAUGAAGGCCGAGUUGGAGAAGAUGAUCGAGGAGCGAAUCGCAACGAUGAACGCGGUGAAGAAAACUGAGAAAGCGCGGUGCGUGGAGGCAGCACCGAAAAAGGCUAACGCGUGGAAAUCGACGGCGCCCGUCAGCGACAUACCUGCCCCGCGUAGGGCGGCGAAGGGAGAGGGAAGUGACGUGAGAAACUGACGAGCGAAACGUUUACAGAUGCUCGCCUGAGCUGACGCCUGUCCUUGCGUUCGCUUGCGCGUCGCUGUCCAUGGCGGAAACGUGCGGCGCACUGCUUUGUUAGCCAAGUACGUUGGUGUAGCUGCGUCCUGUUCUGACACUUUUUCGACUGUCGUCCGACGGGUAAUCGACGGUGCUUGCGGAUGUUGCUUGCGGUACUUUGCCCCCCCCCCCCUCUGUCUCCCCCUUUCCAUCCUGCGCGCAGUGAAAGGGUAGUCUGCUGCUUUGGUGUUGGACGGUUAUGCGGUGCACUGCGCACCCUGCACUCAGUGACCGUGCCUGCUUUGCUCGCGCUCUCAGCCUCUCUGGCCAUAUAUUCUUUUGGUAGUCUAGUCUGCUGGUACCUUCUUCUGAGUCUAUGUCAGUCCCUUCGGGGCCAGACCACGGCUUCCCGGCAGCCCAGCUCACUAUCUUACAACCAUUUCAAGAGCACCUCACGAAGAUUCAAGUAGAUUCUGUAGCCACCCGUCGCUCCUCCUUCUCGUGUCUGAGCCCAGUACCCAUGGCACC
rnacentral:misc_RNA from 1 species